CUCACAAUCUCCACGAAAUGCCAAAGUAUUUUUAGCGGGUCUUUUCACAAUAGCAAUUAUUCUUGUCAACACUUGUCUCCAAUGCUCUCUUUCUUUGUUGAUGGACAAUUGUAUGCUUUCAUCAAUUGUACGUUUUGUUUGAAGCCUAUUUUCCAAUUCCAUCCAACUAAUCAUGCAACCUAUAUGCUCCUUAGACACUUCGUGAUGUGUAAGACGCCGAUGCAUAUUAUGCCAAUCAUUGUAUCCGUCGUUACCCAAUUGGCCAAUAUUUUUGUCCAUUUUUCUAUCUUAAAUAACUUGCAGCAAAAGCAGAAGAUCUUAUCCAAAGAAAUUGAAUACACUAACCAUCUUCUAUCAGUUGUCUGCCCAUUUACCAUUAACCGCUUAUAUUGUGAUGAUUCAAAAUGUCUACCUUUACUAUCUCUGGGAAAGAAUAUGUCAUCAACUCUUUUUGGACCCACUUCAACUAAAAUGUCUCUUAUCUUUUGAUCAACGUGAAUGUCCUUCCAAUUUCCAGGAUCAUUAAAAUUCAAAGAAAAGCAAUUCUCUUGAUUUAAAUCUUGAACAUUAUUUUCAUUAUUCUGUUUUGACUCAUCCAUAUUUGUAGGUUCAAUCAUUUCUUUGUUCUCUUUCCAUUCAUCCACAUGAUCAUUGUCAUUAUCAUUAUCAUUCUCAUUCUGUUUUUCCUCAAUCGUUAACUUUUCUGGUGUUCAUUCCUCUCCUUUUCUUUUCUUGUCAUUAAAGUACUUAUCCAUAUCUCCAGCUUGACUUCGAAUUAAUGCCUCGACUCUUUCCUUUUUCUUCCUUUUUUGAGCUCCCAAUGCAUAUUUAGGAACCAUAGUAUUUGACUCAAGUCACUUAAUGGCAAACGCUUACUGAAAUUUGAGAGUAAAAGAGGACCAAGUUGAUUAAUUUAAGAUUAAAAGUUCAAGAUUGAUUAAUAACUUAUAAUAAAAGUACUCAACUUAACAUCGAUCAUAAUUCACACUUUAUCAAUUCUAGAGUUUUAG
rnacentral:lncRNA from 1 species